UUACAAUCUCGUCCGCGGAAGUGGCAGCGCGAAACGCUGAAGCGUUGAGCUACUUCGAUAUUGCAAUUUCAUAAAUUGUUCAGUCUGGAAAUGUCGCACGAUGACACACGAUUUCUCUACUUCCGUGUGUCGAAAUUUAUGCCUGUACACGUCGAAAUUCAAGCCAAUGACAAAUCAUUUCGACCGAGCUUGAUUUCCCUCAAUUUUACUUGCGCGUGCUGAAACCCAUCAGCCCACAUGAUGACCUUUUGACGAAGCAUUCUUAUCAUUGGACAUGUCCUUUAUGUCACCAGUACACUAGGUUACAGCAAAUUUAUAUGAAAAUCAAGUAAAUUCCUAGUUUUUCAAUAACGGUGACUGAGUUUACAGUUAAAUCAAUGCCACUGGAUGGACGAAGUGCAAUCAUGUAAUAAUGGUUGAUCGUGCUACCAACCGUCAUCAAUAUUGUUAUUAUUUAUCAAAGACGAAUUACAGCAAUAUUUUGGUGCUCUCCAAAAAUAGGAGCUGCAGUUGUGAAAUUCUCAUACUUUACCUGAGUGAAGGAUAUCUGGUAGUAAUUAUGAAAAUAUCACAAGAAGAAUCGUGCAAGUAUUACAGGAAAUACGAUAAAGUUUGACAGCUACAUAUAUUGAAAUUGGCCAGUUGAAAUAUACUACGACCCGACAGAGUGUACAAUGGAAGGAACUAAAUGAUCUGUAUAUAAUUUGUAUGAAAAUUAUGAUUUCUAUUUUUAUUUUAUAGAUAAAACAGCGAGUAUUAGCAAGUAUUAGAGGAAAGCCACGUGGACUCUUUGACUGAUCUCGAGGACGCUGACUGAGCUUGCAGUCGGAUCAGAAGCUGUGUCGCAUUGCGGGACGCAACUCUCUUUCUCUCUCUUACUCCUUCUCCUUCUUUUGGUUCAAUCGUUCCUUACCACCUUUCUCGAACGUGCAUUGACAGCACGCCGGCGAGCAUUCCAAGUCCUUUCAGAAUCCCUUCGUUACUCCUCCUUUGCCCCGUAAUUACCACAAGAAUUAUAGAAGCCAGGGGUAGAAGGAGUCAUAAUUGCUAUUUCAUCGGGAGGGUGAAUCCGACAUGAAAGAAGGAAAUUGAAUAGACGCGCGGAAUUGUAUGGUUCCCGGAAAAUAAGGCAAAACCCUCGCGAGUUUUUAAGAUUUUCAAUUGGUACUUAUAUCAAUUAAACGGGGAUAUUAGUUGCAUGCCGCAAGUUUUGCACGCCUUGAUUCAAGUGGAAAACGAUAUCAAAGGGGAGGACAUAAUCUGAUGUCUAGAUUAGAUGUUCCUUGUUGAACGGAUCAACUAAUGGUUAAAAGGAAACACUGCGAACAGUUGGAUCGAGUGUUACCGAUUGUUUUGAUGUUUUGAGAUAUUUGAAAAAAGGAUGUUAACCUUUUCGGUGCUCUGCGCGAGUAUACUCGUCAAAUUAUUUUGUUUUUGUCGAGCUCAAGACAAGUUAAAUCGCAUGAGCUUUUUACAUAUGAAAGAGCUCAAGACGAGUUAACUUAUUAACAAUAAGUUCAUGCGAUUUAACUCGUCUUGAGCACGACAAGAACAAAAUAAUUUGACGAAUAUACUCGCGCAGAGCACCGAAAAGGUUAAACAAUGGUUCAUUUCUGAAUAGUUAAGUCACCUGAAUUAUAUAUAAGGUACUUUUUGAUUCAAGAAUUUGUAAAUCCACAAUUAAUUAUCGGCAAUAUAAUGAAAAAGUUGUUAAAAACGUUAGUGAAAUACGUAGUGCACAUGGGGAAAAAUUCGGAAUCAUUGAUUACUUAUUAGCGUUUUUAAUACGUUAUCAAUCGUUCACGAAUGUCAUAAGUGAUAUUUUUCGAAUUAGAACAAUACAUUUAUAUACAUUUUCAACUUAUUAAUCAUGCACUCACAAUUGUUAUAUCAAACAACGCAAAAAUUGUAACAUUGAUAAUAUAUUACUUUAAAAAGAAUAAUUGAAAAUAAGAGAAAUUGAGAAC